rnacentral:rRNA from 1 species
GACGAACGCUGGCGGCGUGCUUAACACAUGCAAGUCGAACGGAAAGGCCCUGCUUUUGUGGGGUGCUCGAGUGGCGAACGGGUGAGUAACACGUGAGUAACCUGCCCUUGACUUUGGGAUAACUUCAGGAAACUGGGGCUAAUAUCGGAUAGGAGCUCCUGCUGCAUGGUGGGGGUUGGAAAGUUUCGGCGGUUGGGGAUGGACUCGCGGCUUAUCAGCUUGUUGGUGGGGUAGUGGCUUACCAAGGCUUUGACGGGUAGCCGGCCUGAGAGGGUGACCGGCCACAUUGGGACUGCGAUACGGCCCAGACUCCUACGGGAGGCAGCAGUGGGGAAUAUUGCACAAUGGGCGGAAGCCUGAUGCAGCAACGCCGCGUGCGGGAUGACGGCCUUCGGGUUGUAAACCGCUUUCGCCUGUGACGAAGCGUGAGUGACGGUAAUGGGUAAAGAAGCACCGGCUAACUACGUG